CUCACCUUGCCUCUUGCCUAACACCAUAGUGUACCCUGUCGCCUUUCGCCUUGAUAGCACUGAUUGUCUUCCUUGCAAAACUCUUAUUAGCACAAGUAAUAUUAAUUCCAAACUUAUCCAUUUCCUUUGUUUUUCUGGAUUAGUUUUAAUGUUUUACUUUGAUUCUCAGUUUCUGAGUUCUUUUUUUUCGCCCCUUUUGCUUCUUGGAUUUUCUUUUAUUGGCGUGUCGUGCACUAUUAUUUCAUUUGUAUUAGUUUCGUGACUAAUUGAUAGCUAAUCUCAUAUUUUUAUGGCAAUGCCAUUAUUCUCAAUUGAUGCUGACUUCUAUUUUUAUCUUUGUCAAAUAGCUCAUAGCUGAAGCAUGGGAUG
rnacentral:misc_RNA from 1 species